GUGGGGAAUUUUGGACAAUGGGCGCAAGCCUGAUCCAGCAGUGCCGCGUGCAGGAAGAAGGCCUUCGGGUUGUAAACUGCUUUUGUACGGAACGAAACGGUCCUGGCUAAUACCCGGGGCUAAUGACGGUACCGUAAGAAUAAGCACCGGCUAACUACGUGCCAGCAGCCGCGGUAAUACGUAGGGUGCAAGCGUUAAUCGGAAUUACUGGGCGUAAAGCGUGCGCAGGCGGUUUUGUAAGACAGAGGUGAAAUCCCCGGGCUCAACCUGGGAAUUGCCUUUGUGACUGCAAGGCUGGAGUGCGGCAGAGGGGGAUGGAAUUCCGCGUGUAGCAGUGAAAUGCGUAGAUAUGCGGAGGAACACCGAUGGCGAAGGCAAUCCCCUGGGCCUGCACUGACGCUCAUGCACGAAAGCGUGGGGAGCAAACAGGAUUAGAUACCCCAGUAGUCC
rnacentral:rRNA from 1 species